AUAGUCACAAGAACUACUACAGCCUAUUGUAUUUGUUCUGGUGAGUAUAAUCAGGCUUUUUGCACUAAACAUUGUCUUUUCAAAGCAAAUGCAGUGUUUACAUUACAGUUUAGUGAUAACUCCACUGGCCACUCCUCAGAUGGCUACUAGAGGUGCUUCCUGGGGUAGUGCUGCAGAGUAUGCUGCAUGACCAUUCAGUGUCUCCACCCUCUGCAUGCCGACACUGAACGUUCCUCAUAGAGAUGCAAUGAUUCAGGAGAUGCUGAUUGGCCAUGGCUAGUGCUUGCUCUGCCUCCUUGACAGUGUCAGUCAAUCCUUUGGGAAAGUAUUGUUAUUGGCUUUGAGCAACACUUCUGAUGUCAGUAAAGCAGGCAGAUCAGGGGCAGAGGCAGCAGCUGCGGAUUUGAAUACAAGGGGGGGAUGAGGGAAAUGGUG